UACUUAAGUUUGACUCCAUAACACUAGUA
rnacentral:piRNA from 1 species